AACGAACGCUGGCGGCAGGCUUAACACAUGCAAGUCGAGCGCCCCGCAAGGGGAGCGGCAGACGGGUGAGUAACGCGUGGGAAUCUACCCAUCUCUACGGAAUAACGCAUGGAAACGUGUGCUAAUACCGGAUACGUCCGUAAGGAGAAAGAUUUAUCGCUGAAGGAUCGGCCCGCGUCUGAUUAGCUAGUUGGUGAGGUAACGGCUCACCAAGGCGACGAUCAGUAGCUGGUCUGAGAGGAUGAUCAGCCUCACUGGGACUGAGACACGGCCCAGACUCCUACGGGAGGCAGCAGUGGGGAAUAUUGGACAAUGGGCGCAAGCCUGAUCCAGCCAUGCCGCGUGGAUGAUGAAGGCCCUAGGGUUGUAAAGUCCUUUCGGCGGGGAAGAUAAUGACGGUACCCGCAGAAGAAGCCCCGGCUAACUUCGUGCCAGCCGCCGCAGUAACAC
rnacentral:rRNA from 1 species